GACGAACGCUGGCGGCGUGCCUAACACAUGCAAGUCGAACGGAAAGGCCGUGCUUUUGGGGGGUGCGCUAGUGGAGGAGGGGUAAGUAACACGUGGGUAACGUAUCCCUCACUGUGGGAUAUCCUCAGGCAACUGGGUCUCAUCGGGGAAAAGAGCUCCUGCUGCUGGGUGGGGGUGGGAUGGUUUCGGUGGUUGGGGAUGUACUCGCGGCUUAUGAGCUUGUUGGUUGGGUAGUGGCAUACCAAGGCUUGGACGGGUAGCAGGCCUGAGAGGGUGACCGGACACAUUAGGACUGAGAUACGACCCAGACUCCUACCGGAGGCAGCGGUGGAGAAGAGUAUACAGUGGGAGGGAGCCUGGUGCGACAACGCCGCGUGCGGGAUGACGGGCAUCGCGUUGUAAUCCACUUCCGCUUGAGACGAAGCGUUAGUGACGGUAAUGGGUGAAGAAGCACCGGCUAACUACGUG
rnacentral:rRNA from 1 species